rnacentral:rRNA from 1 species
AACGUAGGAGCCAAGCGUUAUCCGAAUUCACUGGGCGUAAAGCGCGUGCAGGCGGCCUGUUAAGUUGGAUGUGAAAUCUCCUGGCUCAACUGGGAGGGGACGUUCAAUACUGGCGGGCUAGAGGGCAAUAGAGGGAGGUGGAAUUCCGGGUGUAGUGGUGAAAUGCGUAGAUAUCCGGAGGAACACCAGUGGCGAAAGCGGCCUCCUGGAUUGCACCUGACGCUCAGACGCGAAAGCUAGGGGAGCGAACGGG